AACUCAAGAAUUGACGGGGGCCCGCACAAGCGGAGGACAUGUGUUUAAUUCGAUGAUACGCGAGGAACCUACCCGGGCUUGAACUGUAGGAGAACGAUUCAGAGAUGAUGAGCCCUUCGGGGCUCCUAUGGAGUGCUGCAUGGUUGUCGUCAGCUCGUGCCGUGAGUGUCGGCUAAGUGCCAUAACGAGCGCACCCUUUCGCCAGUUGCCAUCAGGUAGAGCUGGCACUCUGGCGACACUGCCGCCGCAAGGUGUGAGGAAGGUGGGGAUGACGUCAAAUCAGCACGGCCCUUACGUCCGGGGCUACACACGUGUUACAAUGGGGCAUACAGAAGGCCGGUCCGCGGCAACGCGGAUCCAAUCUUUAAAGUGCCUCGUAGUUCGGAUUGGGGUCUGCAACCCGACCCCAUGAAGCUGGAUUCGCUAGUAAUCGCGCAUCAGCCAUGGCGCGGUGAAUACGUUCCCGGGCCUUGUACACACCGCCCGUCAAGCCAUGAAAGCCGGGGGCACCUGAAGUCUGCGACCGCAAGGGGCGGCCUAGGGUGAAACUGGUGAUUGGGGCU
rnacentral:rRNA from 1 species